GUCAGGCAUGGUGGCUCAUGCCUGUAAUCCUAGCACUUUGGGAGGCUGAGGCAGGAGGAUCACUUGAGCCCAGGAGUUUUGGGCUACAGUGAGCUAUGAUCGUGCCACUGCACUCCAGCCUGAGCAACAGAGAAAGACUCUGUCUCUGAAAAAAUAAAAAUUGACCGGGUGAGGUGGCUCACGCCUGUAAUCCCAGCACUUUGGGGGAGGCCGAGGUGGGCAGAUCACCUGAGGUGAGGAGUUCAAGACCAGCCUGGCCAACAUGGUGAAACCUCGUCUGU
rnacentral:sRNA from 1 species